rnacentral:tRNA from 1 species
AGCAGUGUGGCUUUGUGGAAAUGGCACAGACUUGGGAGUCAGAGGACGUGGGUUCUAAUCCCACCUCCGCCA